rnacentral:tRNA from 1 species
AGGGAUCGUCGGGAAGGUGACUCUCCGUUCGGGACGAAGAGGUCGCAGGUUCAAAUCCUGUCACCCCGACCA